rnacentral:ncRNA from 2 species
AUCUUUGCCAUUGAUUAUGGUGUCAUCCGUCGCUUUCGUGGCGGGUGGUGAAAAGGGAAUCAGGUGUAAAUCCUGAACAGACCCGCUGCUGUAAGCUUCAAACAAAGUCUGAAGACGAUACUCACGCCACUGUUUUCUGCAUGAACGGGAAGGGAGUCAUCAGAUGAAGCAAGUCAGAAGACCUGCCAUGAUCUGGAAUCAGGA